rnacentral:lncRNA from 1 species
GGAGAGAAUGGAUAGGCAUCGAAUCCAGAGCAUUUGACUGCCAGGGCUGGCCUGGGAAAACUUACCACUGGACUCUAUUAAUGAACAGACAAAAGUUCCAUGUCUUCUGCACAGGCAAUGAUCAGAGAAGAGAAGAGGAGACAGAAGCCCAGCCCCUGAUGUCAGUGAAAGACUGACAUAGGGGGAGAUUUGAUUUGUUAAGAGUGAUGAACCUUUCUCCUAAUUGAACCAGUCAGCUGAAUCUAAUGGUGCCUAAAGAGAACAAAUGGAGAUGGGUGUCUGUUUACAAAGCCAAGCAGCAACGAUUUCAAGUAUCUGCUUUGGGUAGCUUUCUGCAUUCUCCAAAGUUGAUCCUUCCAGUGUGCUAUAAACACAGUUGUUGGGCAAUGUUUAAAGUCAAUGAGUCUUAGAUUACCAUCGCAAAAGUCAAUUAAC